rnacentral:rRNA from 1 species
UACGGGGGGGGCAAGCGUUGUUCGGAAUUACUGGGCGUAAAGGGCUCGUAGGCGGCCAACUAAGUCAUACGUGAAAUCCCUCGGCUUAACCGGGGAACUGCGUCUGAUACUGGAUGGCUUGAGAUUGGGAGAGGGAUGCGGAAUUCCAGGUGUAGCGGUGAAAUGCGUAGAUAUCUGGAGGAACACCGGUGGCGAAGGCGGCAUCCUGGACCAAUAUUGACGCUGAGGAGCGAAAGCCAGGGGAGCAAACGGG